UAAUGAGCGUUGAAGAAGAAUAGUAACCUAGUUUAGACAUUGCAGAGAGCUGAUGGUUGGUGAGAAUCAGUGUGGACAUUUAGGUGAAUGGGCUUCUGAGCUUCCAAACCGAACCAGUAUGCAGUAGGCUUUGGCGAACAGGUCUCAUCGUUACACGAGACGAAUAUUGGGCAAUGCAUGCCCGAUGUUGCUAAAGUGAGCUGUAUUUCAGCUAAUAAAGGUGGUACCACGGUCCCUCGUCCUUUUC
rnacentral:ncRNA from 1 species